rnacentral:rRNA from 1 species
GAACACCGGUGGCGAAGGCGGCUUACUGGACUGUAACUGACGCUGAGUCACGAAAGCGUGGGUAGCAAACAGGAUUAGAUACCCUGGUAGUCCACGCUGUAAACGAUGAGUGCUAGGUGUUGGGUAGCGAUAUUCAGUGCCGGAGUAAACACAAUAAGCACUCCGCCUGGGGAGUACGGUCGCAAGACUGAAACUCAAAGGAAUUGACGGGGGCCCGCACAAGCAGCGGAGCAUGUGGUUUAAUUCGAAGCAACGCGAAGAACCUUACCUAGACUUGACAUCUCCUGCAUUACCCNUAAUNGGGGAAGUCCCUUCGGGGACAGGAAGACAGGUGGUGCAUGGUUGUCGUCAGCUCGUGUCGUGAGAUGUUGGGUUAAGUCCCGCAACGAGCGCAACCCCUAUUGUUAGUUGCUACCAUUAAGUUGAGCACUCUAGCGAGACUGCCCGGGUUAACCGGGAGGAAGGUGGGAUGACGUCAAAUCAUCAUGCCCCUUAUGUCUAGGGCUACACACGUGCUACAAUGGCAAGUACAACGAGAUGCAAGACCGCGAGGUGGAGCUAACCUAUAAAACUUGUCUCAGUUCGGAUUGUAGGCUGAAACUCGCCUACAUGAAGCUG